rnacentral:rRNA from 1 species
UGAGUAACGCGUAUCCAACCUGCCGUCUACUCUUGGACAGCCUUCUGAAAGGAAGAUUAAUACAAGAUGGCAUCAUGAGUCCGCAUGUUCACAUGAUUAAAGGUAUUCCGGUAGACGAUGGGGAUGCGUUCCAUUAGAUAGUAGGCGGGGUAACGGCCCACCUAGCCUUCGAUGGAUAGGGGUUCUGAGAGGAAGGUCCCCCACAUUGGAACUGAGACACGGUCCAA